GAUGAACGCUGGCGGCGUGCUUAACACAUGCAAGUCGAACGGAAAGGCCCCUUUGUGGCUUCUCUGGUGUCGAACGGGGACGUAACACGUAAGUAACCUGCCCUUGACUUCAGGAUUACUUCAAGUAACGGGGACCAGUACUAGAUAGGAAUCCUUUCUGCAUGGGCGUGGUUGGAAAGCGUCGGCGGGUUUUGAUGUGUUGGCGGCUUAUCAGCUUGUUGGUGUGGUAGUGGAUUACCAAGGCUUUUAAGGGUAGCCGGCCUGAGUGGGCGACCGGCGACAUUGGGACUGAGAGACGGCCCAGAUUGCGACGGGAGGCAGAAGUGGGGAAGAUUGCCCAAUGGGCGGCAGCCUGAUGAAGAAACGCCGCGUGCGGGAUGACGGCCUUAUGGUUGUAAACCGUUUUCAGCAGGGGCGAAGCUUGUGGUGACGGUACCUGCAGAAGAAGCACCGGCUAACUACGUG
rnacentral:rRNA from 1 species